GGAGCAGCCCAGAGCCUGAAUCAGUGUGUGUGUUAGUGGAAGCGUCUGGAAAGGCGUGCGAUACAGGGUGACAGCCCCGUACACAAAAAUGCACAUACUGUGAGCUCGAUGAGUAGGGCGGGACACGUGGUAUCCUGUCUGAAUAUGGGGGGACCAUCCUCCAAGGCUAAAUACUCCUGACUGACCGAUAGUGAACCAGUACCGUGAGGGAAAGGCGAAAAGAACCCCGGCGAGGGGAGUGAAAAAGAACCUGAAACCGUGUACGUACAAGCAGUGGGAGCACGCUUAGGCGUGUGACUGCGUACCUUUUGUAUAAUGGGUCAGCGACUUAUAUUCUGUAGCAAGGUUAACCGAAUAGGGGAGCCGAAGGGAAACCGAGUCUUAACUGGGCGUUAAGUUGCAGGGUAUAGACCCGAAACCCGGUGAUCUAGCCAUGGGCAGGUUGAAGGUUGGGUAACACUAACUGGAGGACCGAACCGACUAAUGUUGAAAAAUUAGCGGAUGACUUGUGGCUGGGGGUGAAAGGCCAAUCAAACCGGGAGAUAGCUGGUUCUCCCCGAAAGCUAUUUAGGUAGCGCCUCGUGAAUUCAUCUCCGGGGGUAGAGCACUGUUUCGGCAAGGGGGUCAUCCCGACUUACCAACCCGAUGCAAACUGCGAAUACCGGAGAAUGUUAUCACGGGAGACACACGGCGGGUGCUAACGUCCGUCGUGAAGAGGGAAACAACCCAGACCGCCAGCUAAGGUCCCAAAGUCAUGGUUAAGUGGGAAACGAUGUGGGAAGGCCCAGACAGCCAGGAUGUUGGCUUAGAAGCAGCCAUCAUUUAAAGAAAGCGUAAUAGCUCACUGGUCGAGUCGGCCUGCGCGGAAGAUGUAACGGGGCUAAACCAUGCACCGAAGCUGCGGCAGCGACGCUUAUGCGUUGUUGGGUAGGGGAGCGUUCUGUAAGCCUGUGAAGGUGUGCUGUGAGGUAUGCUGGAGGUAUCAGAAGUGCGAAUGCUGACAUAAGUAACGAUAAAGCGGGUGAAAAGCCCGCUCGCCGGAAGACCAAGGGUUCCUGUCCAACGUUAAUCGGGGCAGGGUGAGUCGACCCCUAAGGCGAGGCCGAAAGGCGUAGUCGAUGGGAAACAGGUUAAUAUUCCUGUACUUGGUGUUACUGCGAAGGGGGGACGGAGAAGGCUAUGUUGGCCGGGCGACGGUUGUCCCGGUUUAAGCGUGUAGGCUGGUUUUCCAGGCAAAUCCGGAAAAUCAAGGCCGAGGCGUGAUGACGAGGCACUACGGUGCUGAAGCAACAAAUGCCCUGCUUCCAGGAAAAGCCUCUAAGCAUCAGGUAACAUCAAAUCGUACCCCAAACCGACACAGGUGGUCAGGUAGAGAAUACCAAGGCGCUUGAGAGAACUCGGGUGAAGGAACUAGGCAAAAUGGUGCCGUAACUUCGGGAGAAGGCACGCUGAUACGUAGGUGAAGCGACUUGCUCGUGGAGCUGAAAUCAGUCGAAGAUACCAGCUGGCUGCAACUGUUUAUUAAAAACACAGCACUGUGCAAACACGAAAGUGGACGUAUACGGUGUGACGCCUGCCCGGUGCCGGAAGGUUAAUUGAUGGGGUUAGCGCAAGCGAAGCUCUUGAUCGAAGCCCCGGUAAACGGCGGCCGUAACUAUAACGGUCCUAAGGUAGCGAAAUUCCUUGUCGGGUAAGUUCCGACCUGCACGAAUGGCGUAAUGAUGGCCAGGCUGUCUCCACCCGAGACUCAGUGAAAUUGAACUCGCUGUGAAGAUGCAGUGUACCCGCGGCAAGACGGAAAGACCCCGUGAACCUUUACUAUAGCUUGACACUGAACAUUGAGCCUUGAUGUGUAGGAUAGGUGGGAGGCUUUGAAGUGUGGACGCCAGUCUGCAUGGAGCCGACCUUGAAAUACCACCCUUUAAUGUUUGAUGUUCUAACGUGGACCCGUGAUCCGGGUUGCGGACAGUGUCUGGUGGGUAGUUUGACUGGGGCGGUCUCCUCCUAAAGAGUAACGGAGGAGCACGAAGGUUGGCUAAUCCUGGUCGGACAUCAGGAGGUUAGUGCAAUGGCAUAAGCCAGCUUGACUGCGAGCGUGACGGCGCGAGCAGGUGCGAAAGCAGGUCAUAGUGAUCCGGUGGUUCUGAAUGGAAGGGCCAUCGCUCAACGGAUAAAAGGUACUCCGGGGAUAACAGGCUGAUACCGCCCAAGAGUUCAUAUCGACGGCGGUGUUUGGCACCUCGAUGUCGGCUCAUCACAUCCUGGGGCUGAAGUAGGUCCCAAGGGUAUGGCUGUUCGCCAUUUAAAGUGGUACGCGAGCUGGGUUUAGAACGUCGUGAGACAGUUCGGUCCCUAUCUGCCGUGGGCGCUGGAGAACUGAGGGGGGCUGCUCCUAGUACGAGAGGACCGGAGUGGACGCAUCACUGGUGUUCGGGUUGUCAUGCCAAUGGCACUGCCCGGUAGCUAAAUGCGGAAGAGAUAAGUGCUGAAAGCAUCUAAGCACGAAACUUGC
rnacentral:rRNA from 1 species